GAGGAAAUCCUUAUACAUCAAGUACUCGCGUAGAACCUCCUCGCACUUGGAGAUGUCGCUGGGGGACGGAACCGGGAGACAGAUAAUUUGCCCACACAGCUCGGACCUCUUAUUAUGGCAGGUUUCCAUGAAGAGCUGUCCCGCACAGCCACCGAUUGCCCUGAAUCUGCACGGCUCUCUUCCAUCUCCUCCUCUUCAAUCUCCCGGCGCAGUCCGGCAAUUUUCGUUUUCAUUUUUGUGUUGUUUGUGCCCCUCUGAUGGACCUUCAAGUUCUUGUUGAGCUCUUUUUCCUGUGCAGAGCAGAAGAGGAGACAAAAAAACAUUCAUUUGAAUGCUGAGCCGGUGUAGAAAUAUCGUUAUGAUUCAACUUUGGGAAAUAGUUAUAAUUACUGAUUGGCACAUAUGGGUAGGUCUGAUCAUAGGCGGAACUGUAGUGGGUGCAAGGGGUGCCAUUGCUAUGGGGGCCCAGAGGCUUAGUGGGUCCUAGACCCAGUGUGCAACAGAAGACACGCGCUGCCAGUGCUGGGUGCUGCAAUUCCACUACAGGAAGCUAUUCCCACUAACUCAGGACUCUUCUGGGAAACUGAAACACAAGAUAACCCUGAGAGGGUGUGCAGUAAAGGACACAAAGAUAGCGUCACCCUGAAAAGGGGGCGACGGGAGAGAGAAAGAGGUGAGGGGUGAGCUGUCAUUAUCACCCUCCGCUGCUUUAAUAAUGCCCCAAUAUCUGAAGUACACACAUGUGUAUUGUUUAAUAAGUGAUGCCACUAUGGUCCUAAUCCAAGUUCCUGCUGCAGCGGGUGUUGCAGAUUCUCGCCCGGCAAUUGAAUUCCCCCCCUAGAAUGAAUACAAUGUCAGUGUGUGAUUCGGGAGUAGCGUCUCAUGUGUCCCCAGGGCCUGUUCUUAGUCAGCGUCUAACUUUGUUUCUUGCAGAUUAAAUAACUUUACAUGUAACCAAAAUGUUGUCAAUUUCCAAAACAGAAUAAAGAAUUGUGCAACUGCG